UUAAAUAAGGGUUUGAAUCCAGAAAUUAAAAUUUGAGAUUGAGGCAAAUGUAACCGAUUAAACAAUUGGGUUGAGUGUAUUGUAAAAAAAAAAAAGUCCCGCUGUACGACGUCACCUGAAAGAGCACUGAGACCACAUCCUCCAGAACCAACGAGUGUAUUAAACACAAAUUAUUAUUUUUAAAACCCUAUCAAAAUAACGAGUACAGUAUACAUGUCAGCGAACACUUGUGAACCCGCGGAAGCUUACCUGGAGACGGGGUGCCGGAGUUUCGACCACUUUUCUUCUAGCCUUGGAAACGUCAACUGGGAGUGGCAAUAAACAGCUUUGAAGUCAGCACAUUUGGAAGACAUAUUCGCUGUGGAUAUUUCGUUACAGAUUCAGCAAAGCUCCCGAAGCCCAAGUUCACAGGAUGCCAAAACAAGCGCAGGUGGAGGCGACCGUGCAAACAACUUGCUGCCAGCAGCAGGUGAAAAACAACAAUAGCAAGGCGGGAUAAGCUGGGCGGACGACAGAUGGACGCACAGGGGCCUGACUUGGCGGCGGCGGCGGCAGAAUGGCAAAAAGAGAAAAAAAAAAGAUGGUGAAAAAAAAGAUGGUGGACAGAUGAAGGAGGCACAGGAGAACAAGUCGAUACAGACAUCUCGUGGGGUUCAAGUGCAAGCGGGGAAGUGUGGGGGGGUUGUCCCAGAGGGGCCCUGGACACAGAGAGCCUCACUUUUUCUUCCUUGUUGUAAUGUUCAAAAUGUCAAUUGGUGUAAUUAAAGGUACACUUCACACUUUCGCUGGUUGGUUGGUUUGGAGACUUGGGCUGGGGUCGGCAGCAAGUGCAAGUCAGGGAGCACCUGGGGGCUCUCCUGACAUGAAGAUGAUGGAAUUGUCAAUUGGGGUGCAAUUAUUAUUUUUUUUCCUUCUUGUGUCUAGUUGAGUUUUUGAGUUCCCGACAACGGCGAUAAAUAAUGUGCUUUCUGUGGUCCCAGUCAGUUCAUGGUUUGUAGUUGGACUUGGGAUGCGAGGCAGCAGAGAAUCCUGUGAAAAAUAGAAACGGCAGGAGAGAACGAGUGAAGAACUUUAGACAUCAUAAGUACAAGUAGAGCGAGGGUGCUUGACAGCCGUCUCGCAGCAGCGCAUCACCGCCUGGCAGGAAGAUGUUCAAAAUAUCACUCGGGUAUGUAAUUAAAGGUUCUUUCACACGGAUACAUUUUCUUUUGUUUUGUUUUGCUUUUCUAAACGCUGGGGGCAAAAUAUCCUGAAAAGACUUUGGGCAGGGUGUGGUUGACGGCCAUCAGGUGUUUGAACCUUACUGGUUUCAAUUGUAAAUUGUACUUGAGGAGUUAACAUCC